UAAAUUUCCCUUCAUCAAUCAUCCAUCCCUUAAAUCUCAUUCAUCUUAUAACAUUCAUUCAUUCAAAGUUUGUUCAUCCAAUUUUUAUCUAAAGAUUCAUUCAUCCAACCAUAAGUCAACUUAUCAUCCAAUUGACAAUUCGUGCAAUUGACCUAAUUCAUCCAAGAUUCAUCCUAAAAAUUAAAGAAAAUCGGAAGUCGCCACCUUCCAAGUCAUGGUAGCGACCCCUUUGCACGAAUUCCACUACAAUGGUUGCAUCACUAACUUGUUUAUAACAAGCUUUGCUAUUUUAGAAAGUAGACUUACAAGCGCUUGUCUUCCAACAAAAUUCAAUGCAAAACAACAAUUAAGCUAAGAGAAAUCUUGCCUCAAAGUUGCCUGACUUUCUCGGCCUAGUUAGAGCACCCCUGGCCACAAAAACCCUUGCCCUUGCUCCAUUCCAGUUGUGCAACGCAUAUGCUUUAGCAUUCCAGAAACUAGAAUUGAAGUUGCAUCACCUCCAACAAUUUUUUCUUGAAAAUCUUGAGUGAAUUCCAAGAUAUGACCUUCCAAAGUAGCUUGAGUUGGCGGAGUGCUACAUCUUCACCAUGGCCGACUCCUCUUCACUCCAACCACCAUAACUUCCUUGGCCUUUACUCAAUCUAAGCGUGCAAAUAGUCCUUGCAAAGCUGACAACAAGAACCAUCCCCCACAAAAGUUUCAGCUCCAAAUUCAAUACUGUCCGCCAACACUCGCCUUCCAAAGUCGGACCUCCAGAUCUGGCCGGCAGCUGACCUCCUUGUCACUAAAACCACCACAACUUUCUUGUUUUCUCUCCAAACAAAGCGUGCCUACUGUCCCGAGGAAGCUAACGACAAGAUCUAACUAUUGGUAAAGUUUGACAUUCUAUUUCCAGAUAACUAAUACACUACAGCUGCGCAAUUGCAGCUCUAUAGAAACAAGGGUACGUGGGGAUGCAAUUUGGCAUGGCUUCGCCCCAAAAAAAAAAAAAAAAAAAGAGAGAGAGAUAGCAAGUGUGGAAGAGACCAAAGGGUGGCGGCCACAUCUCCACCAUCCGAAUCCACCAACCCUAAUCAAGAUCAAGGGCCGACAUUAACCCUAAGUCCUAAAUCCGAUUUUAGUGCUGGACAUGCCCAAAAUCUCCAAUUCGAAGCGUUUUUUGACAAAACUAACUCCACCAAUGUGUUUAAAACAUAUUUAAACAUCAAGUUUGACUAUUCAUACACCCAAAUCUAAGUUCUAGAUCACUAAGAACCAACAAUUUGACAAAUCCAUCACAAUAAAUUUACUUCUAAUUAUUUUCUUCUCCUUUUUCUUCUUCUUCUCCUUGUCCCUCUUCAUCUUCUUCUUUCUUUCUUCUUGGCCUUUUUUUUUUUUUUUUUUUUUUUUUUCUUCUUUUGGCUCUUUUUCUUAUCUUUCUUUCCACUUCCUUCUCCCUUGAUUUUUCUUUCCACUACUAAUCAUCAAUAAGCCACUAACAUUAAUGUCUAUAACUAACUUAUUAUAACAAAAUAUAAUCAAAAACCUCAUUUUUUUAGAUUUUUUUAGUUUAACCAAUAAUGUGAACCAACUUUUGGGCUCACAUAAUUGGCGACCAUCAGGGGACGAAUCCAGCUUGUACUUGCCAAUUUUUGUCUUUUAAAGUAUUUUCACCAUGCCAGUUCAUACUAUCGCCUUGUCAUAAGAUAGAAAGGUGGAGCUCUUGCCCAAAAUUGCGCUCCCUCAUGUCUUAUAUUCUUUAGACCUGCUACCUGAUGUUCGUGUGGGAAACAAUUGACCACUCAAGGUCUCCAAUUGCACGGAGUUGUUUAAAAACACCUCCUUGACAAGAUAAGGAUCCAACCAUACGGCAUCAAACUUUCUUGGAAAGUCGAUCUUCCGAGCAUCUUGUAACAAUACUAGCAUACCAAGUUGCAAGACCCGAGUCUUGUUCCGUUUAUCAAACACGACCUUGCGUCGCCUCUGGAUGGCCUCAAUGUGUUGAGCCCCUCGUCUUCUGCUCUCAUCCAAUGCCUCGAGCUCGUACAAUCUUGUCUUCAAAGAUUGUCUGUCAGUCAAUGUGGAAUCUACUGUAAUCCGAAGGGAUGGAACCUCAAACUCAAUUGGUAAAACUGCUUCCAGUCCAUAGACUAGAGAGAAUGGUAUAGCCUGCGUGAUGACCUUAAAUGUUGUUCUAUAUGCCCAUAAGGCGGCUGGCAGUUUCACAUCCCAAUCACGCUUGGAGUCUCUAACAGUUUUCCUCAAUAUAGUACCAAGUGUUUGGUUGACUCGCUCUGUCUGACCAUUGGUUUGAGGGUGAUAGGAUGUAGUCUUCCGGUGAUCAAUCUGGAAUCACUCAGUCAUAGAUCCAAUCACCUCGUUGAGGAAAUGAGUACCUUGAUCACUCACAAGGAUCUUCGGGACUCCAAAUCUAGUAAUCACAUUCUCAAAGAGAAAGAUUGCAGCAUUCUUGGCAUCAUUUGUCCUCACAGCCUUGGCUUCAGCCCACUUAGUGAGAUAUUCAGUGGCCACUACAAUAUAUGCCAUUCCUCGAGAUGAAUGAGGAUGAAUCUCUCCCACGUAAUCGAUGCCCCACUUCUCGAAUGGCACCAAUGGUAGGGAAAUGUGAAGUGGCAACUGCAUGUGAAGGUCAUUCCUAGCAAAUCUCUGACAUGCAUCACAACGCCUCACAUAGGUAUGAGCGUCCUUGAAGAGUGUUGGCCAGUAAUAACCAGCCCUAAGAAUUUUCUGACCAGUCAAUUGUCCAGAAAAAUGUCCGCCACACGCACUGUUAUGACAAGCUGACAAAAUGGAAGGAACCUCAUCUUCCAUCAUACAACGUCUUAAUACUCCAUCCAAUCCACGUCGAUACAACCGGUUCCCUAACACCACAAAAUGACGACUAUUGACCCGAAUCUUUCUCUUCUCGUCCUUGGAUAAAUCCAUUGGCAAUUGUUGAGUAGUCAAGAACUCAAUAAUCCUAGAAUAUCAUGCUGGUCUAGCUGUCACCAAGAAAAGACUCUCGUCUAUCAAUCUAUCAUCAAUUGGGUGGGUCUCCAUUCUUCCAGGCAAUCUCGACAUGUGAUCUGCUUGUUUGUGUACGGAUCCAGGUUUGUACUCCACAGUGUAAUCAAACUCUUGUAGCAACAAGACCCACCUAGCUAGUCGACCGCUCAACUCAGGUUUGUUAACCAAAUACUUGAUGGCCAUGUGAUCUACAUAAAAAACUACUUUGUUGCUCAAAAGAUAAUGUCUAAACUUUUUAGCUGAGAACACCAUAGCUAGACAUUCCCUCUCAGUGGUGGAAUAAUUUUUCUCUACAAGAUUUAAUUGCCUACUAGCGUAGGCAAUUGGAUGAUCCUUGCCCUUGCUUGGGCCUUCUACAAGUUGGCACAGAAUGUUGCCAACCGCCACCGCACUUGCAUCACAAUAGAUGUGGAAAGGCAAGUCCCACCUCGGGGGCCUCAAUAUUGGAUAAGAAGACAAUUCCUUCUUUAGAACCUCGAAAGCAUCAUUACAAGCCUGAGUCCAUAUAAAUUUGGUGCCUUUCUUCUGAAGGCUAGUGAUGGGAAGGGUAAUAGUGGCAUAAUCUUCAAUCAACUCUCUAUACCAACCGGUGUGUCCCAAUACACGUUGCACUUCCUUCACACUGGUAGGAGGUGAUAAAUUCUGAAUUACCUUCACCUUUUCUGGCUCGGGCUCACGACCCCUUUUACUAACCAUAUAUCCCAACAAAAUGCCUCUAAUCAAGGCAAGAUAGGUUUUUUCUGGAUUCAGGGCCAUUCGAGCUUUCUUGCACCUCUCAAUGCUUUCUUUCAUCAAAUGAAUGUGAGAAUCUGUAUCAGAUUGGGUGCUGAAAUCAUCAAUGAAUACGGUCAUUGAUUUGUAUAACAAGUCUGAGAAGAUAGACAUCACCAGACGUUGGAAAGUAGUAGGGGCGUUACAUAAUCCAAAUGGCAUCACAUGCCACACAAACAUCCCCCAAGGUGUUGUAAAUGUAGUCUUGUGUCGAUCUUCAGGUACAAUAGACACUUGGUUGUAUCCAAAAUAUCCAUCCAUAAAUGUGUAUAAAUCGUGACCUGCCACUUCUUCUAAGAUGCUAGUGAUAAAUGGCAAGGAAAAGUGGUCUUUUUGGGUGCAAAAAUUCAACUUCCUAUAAUCCACACAUCCUAAGUUUACCAUUCUUCUUCUUUACAAGCACCAUGGGAGAGACCCAAUCUGUGAUCUCAACAGGUUUAAUAAAAUCUGCUUGGAGUAAUUUCUCCAGUUCUUCUUUUACAAUCAAUUGAAGCUGAGGAUUCAUUCUCCUCUCCUUUUACCUGAUCGACACUGCACCGGUCAUCAAGGGAAUUCGAUGUUCUACAAUCUCAGGAGGAAUCCCCUUUAACUCCUUAUAAGACCAUGCAAAGACCUCCUGAUACUCUCUUACCAACUCACAGUAGGCCUUGAUCUCUUCAUCCUCUAGUUGGCUUCCCAUCUUCAUUUGUCUUGGUUCUUCUCCUUCAAACUCCACUAUCACAAACUUCCAAUCUUCUUUAGCAACGUGAAAUUGUUCAUUGUUAUCUCGAUACCAAUCCGAAGGCACAUUGGGAUAACUGAAAAUGUCUUCUCUAACCGUAAUUCCCGAAGAACCAGUCUUAAAUUUCAAUGAUCCUCCCAAAUGCUCACUUUCCUCUAAAACCUCUACUCCUUCAACAUCCUCUAUUCCAAUCAAAUGGACAUCUACCUCAAUUAAAGGUGUCAAACCAUCGUCCAACUCCAUUCCAAUGAAAUUCAAUCCUGCCGUCAAUUCUGAUGAAGAAUCAGGGUUGUCUUGGAGCCACUUGGCAUACUCUCCAUUGUCUGACCAAUGGUAGAGAUUUGGACCAAGACACUUCAAGGUUUGAACCUCAGCUUCAAACGUCAUCCCAUCCACGGAUUUUAAUGGUGUGCCUUCUCCAAUAGAUAUGGUGUCAACCACCUCGAGUCCUAUCAAAGGCUUGAUUCUAACUUUAGUGGGGUUUUCAUAUGGACCGUAAACUAUGGAGGGCUUAUCACCACCCCACAUGAUGGUGGCAUUGGCCAUCCUCAACCACGGACGACCUAAGAGAAGUGGAAAAGAUUCUUUGGAAGUGUGCAUCUUGAUAACAUGGAAGAUCACUAAGUAAUCCUCCCCUCCUGUAGAGAUUUUAUAGUUCGUGAUCUGGCCUAAAGGCCUAGCAUGACUCUGAUCUGCCAUGUUUAAUACAAAUGGUAAAGGUCCGGUUAAAUUCAACCCCAACUUCUCCAUGGUAUGAAGUGGCAUGAUAUUAAGCCCACUACCUCCAUCAAUGAGCACAUUCGGAACCACCUUGUCCAUGAUAGUGACCUCGAUCUCCACUGCCUUCACAUCCACUAGCCUAAUAGAUGCUUGUACCCUAGUCACUGUCCUCUUCUGAGUCUUCUUCUUCCUCUUCGCCCUUGGCAAUCCUUCUUUGAAACUCUUCCUCAUCAAAGGAGAUAUCUCCAAUAGUUGAGCAAUUGAUAUGUCAGCCUUUAUCCUCCGCAAGUCCCUCCAGAGAUCAUACUUCUGGUAAGAGGUUGGCAUUGUACGACCCAACCCUCCAAACUCCUCCUCUGGAAUAUCUGGACCCUCGCAUUCACCUGGUUCUAACCCUUUACCUGGAUCAGAGCGUUCAGAUGACCUUUCAUCACCUACCGCGGCGCCUACCUCCCUUGUAAUUCUUGCCACCUCCUUUGCAGCCACCUCAAGAGCUACUAAAUCCAACAACUCUUCAGACUCACUACUAUCUGAGUCUUCUUCAUCGAUUGGUGAUUGCCUAUGAGCUUGCCCUCGGGUAAUCACAGCCAAAGUAGCAUUCUCAUGGCCACCACCUCCGUUUUUCUUCAAUUCAUUGGUCACUAAAUUAGAAGGUGCUUCAUGUUCUUCAAUCACCACUGUGGUCUUUGCUAGAGAUGGCGCAGGACCCUUUAAUAAGACCUCUUCUGCUACUCUAACAUCUUGGUUAGAAGAUAGACCUUGUUUCUGGUUUGCAUAGUUUCGAUAGCCGCCUUGUUGAUUUUUGGCAACUGGGAUAUAACCUUGGCGGGUUUGUAAUCCUUCCGGAGGUUGAUGGUUUUGUCUGAAAUCCUCAUAGUUGUAGUAGAGAUUAGGAGGUUUUAGGCCCCUCUAAUCAUCACCAUGAGGUCGUCUCUGAUCUCUCAUGUUAUUCCACGCGUUCUCAUAAGGAUUUGUUAUUGGUGGUGGUAGUUGAAUUUCCUUAUCAGGUUGUCUACAUUCAUGGGUAGGGUGAUUGCCACCACAAUCGCCACACGGCCGUGGUUGGUCAUCAUCCCAGCACUGACCCGGCUCAUGCUAUCUCCUGCAAAGCUCAUGGUACUCCUUUCGAGGCUUGCCACUUCUACCAUAUCCUUGAGGACCACAUUGAUAACCUCCUUGCCGCUGCUGAGGUCCUCUAUCUCUUCCAUAGCCCUGUGUUGGCUGGUAUGGUUGAGGAUUUGGAUUACCUUGAGGCCUUACUCGGCACUGAAGAGAUGAAUGCCCAUUUUGGCCACAAGUAGUGCACCAAAUCCCCGAGUUAUGGUUACCAGACUCUAUCCGAGGAGGUGGGGUGUUUGAAUUUUGAUUCUUUAUCAUGAAUGCCAUCUGCUCAGUCAAGGCUUGGAUCUGCUUCAUCAUGGAGUCUUGAAAACCUUCUUGUCCGGCCUGUAUUUUCUUCUCCAAGUCCUCCACUCUCCUCUCCAAUUGUGGCUCUAAUAAUGCCAAUAAGGGUACCGGAGCUCUAGUGGCCGUGGGCAUGAUAUUGUAAUAUUGGGCACUAUUGUCGACUAUCGGAGGUGUACUUGACGUGCUUGGUCCUACCGCUGUUGUGUUAUAACACGAGUAUACAGAGAAAAUAAAAAGAAAGGGGAAUUUUAUUAAUAUUCAGUUACCUCGAAUAUUGGGAGCAUCGACCAACUCCUGUACAAAUACUGAGUGGCCAGGUUCAGUCACCCCGUUACAGUCAUUCGGGGCAUACUGAAAUGCUCCAUUCAAUUCCAAUAACGGGAGUCAGCAGGAAGAGAAGGACCAAUUCACACGACGGGUUCGAAGAGCCAAUUGGAUCCAAUUUCGAGAAUCCAAUCCAGGUCUUCUUACCCAAUAUGAGACCUGAAUUGGCCGGGCAACCCAAUGCAGACCCAAUUACGGGAACAUCUAGGUUAUUACGGACAUCUUACCCAAUAUGGGACCUGAAUUGGUCGGGCGACUCAAUGUGGUCCCGAUUACGGGGUUUCGAUUCUGUUUCGGGCUGUCUUGUUCUCUGUGCCAUUUCAGGGAACGUUGUUUUCGGUAAAUGGAUUUCUUAAAGGUAAAAACGGAGGAGAAAGCUCUGACGGCGAGAGCCAAUUUUAGAUCCAAGCUUGACGGUGGGAGCCAAUUCCGGAUCUAAGACGGAAGAUUGAAGAAAUUCAGUGGAUAAGGUUAGGGGGGAUAUAGUUUUGAAGGGGGUUUUUUUUUUUUUUUUUUUUUUCUCUGAGAAUCGGGGGGAGCUAGUUUGCAAGCUUUUGCAAGGUUACUAGUUCGGUUUUCAUUGGAGGUUUUUGAAGAUCAAGGGGAUUAGAGAGAGGGGGCUUCAUGCUUCGGGUUGGGGAAGGAAAGACAUAGAAUUUGGAUUUUUCUUCUUCGUAGAGUUUUGGGAAGACUGAGGCAAUCGCUGCUGAAGUCAGUAUUGUAAUGGUGAAUCGAGACUUUUAAUGAAGUGGGUUUGGAUACUCUUGACUGUUUUGUAAAAUCGAGUUACGUCUGUGAUUGAAGGAUUAAAAGGUGUCUAUAGGAUUGAGUAUGUGGAGUGAAUGAAAUUUAUUGGGUUAAUCUAACAAGACAGUCAGUGGAUAUAAGAUCGUAAGUACAAAGCGGUAUUGAAGAUUAACAGUUUGGAUUGUUCGGGGUUCUCUGUAACAUCUAGAGACCAAACAAAGUUGACAUUAGAGCUAAACAAAGUUGAUCUAUUUCUUCAAGCUGACAAAGGUAGAAAAAUUGACAUUGGAGCCAAACAAAGUUGAUCUAUUUCUUCAAGCUGCUGAUGGAGAAUUACAAGAGAAAUUAGAAUCCUUUCUUGAAGACAAAGAAGAAGAUGAAGGAUUGACAAAAAAGUGGAAGAACGUUGAAGAUGCGGUGGGAUUGCUUACAAAAAAAGAAAGGAGGAAGGAUAGGAGCAAUAUUCCAAAAACAGUACAACCACCCAAAGCUCCAGUACGUACAACACCACCAACAAUGCCUACAGUUCAACCUUCGACAUCCUUAUCAAAGAAAGCAGAUAUAGAUAUGGAAGAAAUUAUACGAGGAAUGCGAGAUCUUCAAAUCAAAUUGGCAAGACUUGAAGAGAAUACUUCUAUAAACAAUUCGAAGAAUGUUUCAAAAUAAGGAUAUGUACAAAGAUGCAUUUGGUGUGAUGAUGCUUCACACACUAGAAAAGAUUGCAAUGAAUUUAAUAAUAUGAUACGGCAGGGAAUUAUUUGCUGGAAAGAUGGGAAGAUAGCAUUGAAAAAUAGAGAGGAUCUUCUUCAAACCAAUUUUGACAAGGGAAGAAUGAGAGCAUUGGUUCAAGAUUACUUAAAAGAGCAUGAAACAGUAGCACAAGAAAGUGCAAGUUAUGGUGCUAGAGUAGAUGAUGAAAUUGGUGGAAGUACGGAAACUAGUGAGUUUUGGGCUUCUGCCGUUUCUACAAUGCAAGAAGGGAAAUUACCUCGAGAAGCAUUAUUGAGGCCUGCAGCUACAAUACGAGGUAGAACAGGUUGGAAGGAUCCUGUUGAGUCUCUUUCAGUUCAUGCAUAUAUUGCUAAGAGCCAACAUAAAGCUUUCAUGGAAGAAAAAAGACGAGGAAAUUUUGAUGAUACAAGAGAAGGAAAUUCUUUUAAGAGGCAAACUCGAGGAGACAAGGCUCGGGAGGCAGCUUCACAAGAAGUGCCUAUAAAGGAUACCUCAGUAUCAUUGGGAGAAAAAACAACGGAGACAAAAGAUAAGGGCAAAUCAAUUGCUUAUAAGCUACUUUCUGACAUUGAAGCGGCAACAAAUUUGAAAGGGGUGUUGGAAGAACGUAUAUUAAAUGCUAAGGUGGAAUUCACAUUGAAAGAAGUCUUGAGAAUUGCAAAGAAGGAGUUUCAUGAUGUUAUCAUUGACAGCAUUAAGCGAAAGAGGCAAUUAAUGGGCAAAACUGGAAUGAGUCUUGCUAUUGAUGCAAGAAUGUGUAGAGAUGAAGAAGAGGUUGAUAUUGGUUACAAGCAACCAACAAAUGAAAAGAAUGGGUAUAAUCAGCGAGUACGUUUCGAAGAUUCUAGUGACAAGGAAAUAGAAACUUUGAGCCAUUAUACUCGAAACCAUUGGGCAAGGGCAACUACUGAGGUAUUAGUGAAGGUAGGAGAUAUAGAUGAACCAAUAGUUGCUUUGGUCGACCAUGGUUCUCAAAUAAAUCUCAUGUCUAAAGAUCUUUAUAAGAAGCAAAAAUGGCCAAUUGAUAUGGAACAUGGAUGGACAAUACGAGCAGCUAAUAACACACGGGGCGAAUUAUAUGGAGCUUGUCCAGAUGUCAAAAUUCGGAUUGGAGAUGUUGCGACGUCGCAACAUUUCUUCGUUCAAGAUACAACGUCUUAUCCGUUGAUUUUAGGACAACCUUAUAUCACGGCAACACGGAUGGAAAUAAAAGUACUUGAUGAUGGUUUUGUAUCAAGGACAAAGACUCGAUGAGGAAAAAUAUACACCAAAAGGCUAUCUCGAUAUAAUAGGUCAAAAUAUAAACAAGUAGGUAUAUUAAAAGGACACUGGAAUGGCUAUUGCCGCAAGACAAGAAACUAAAGACUCUUGAAUCUGGACUAGAAGCAAGAAAGGAGUUGACAAGAGUGAAGAAGCCUUCACUCUUGUCUCUAUAUAUACUAUCUAACUAGGGGCUACGUGGCGACGUUCUAUAGGACCUCCAAUAUGUGUUGACUUUGUAGGACACAUGCCUUGACUUACAAGGCAAGUUUUUCUACGUGUGGGCCACAUAGUUAGCUUGAUCUUCAAGCUAACAACAUGUGUGGCACAUGGCCAACUUGUUGACCACGUUUCUAAUCCAAAAAGUCAAUUAAAGACACCUAUGAAGUCAAAGCAGCGUCUAGGAAGUUUCUAGGAAGCUUCUAUAUUAAAUAUUAUAUAAUUAACUUACUUUUAUCUACUUUUACUUACUUCUACCUAUUUCUAUAUGUAAUUAUUAGCUUACAUGAUUAUGGCCGUGACAUUACCCCCCCUUCUAGAGACGAGUUCCACGAGGAGCGGUCAUCAUAUGUUGAGGAAAUCUAUGAUGCGACGAAUUGUAUUCGCCACAUACUCUGAUCUCUGUUCUCUUCGAAGAUGAUUGAUAGGGCCUCUCAACCAUCGGUAGUGUCCCAUACCAGGGCGGAAAGACCACCCAGUUAUUUGAUCAUUAUUGAGGCCUUCAUAACUUCCUUCGAAUAGAAUAUUCGGAACACCAUCAGGAGUUGUUCCUACCUCUAGCAAAAUCACCAAACAUCGGGAGUACCUUCCCAAAUCAUGAUACCAAACGCGUUGUAUCUCACCAUCUGUUCGAGGAAGAACAUGUCGUUCUUGAAGAUCUUCAUCUCGAUUGCAUCGUCUUGAAGGUUGUGACAAUCGUAAUGUCUCGUCCGGCAGGUCAGCAAACGAAGGUUCUUGAGUUGAAUCUGCUGGUUGUUGGCUCUCCAUCUAAUUAGCGUCACAAAUGCAAAGAAGUUACAAACAAGGAUAGGAAAUUGAAUGUUAUCUUGCGUCAAUCUUGUCUCUUUUAUAAGAGAGAUUUUCAUCUUGGUUUUGAUGGAUGUCGUUGAUGAAAAACUUUGACUUUAGUUGAUGCAUUUGCUAGAUUCCUGGAUGGCUCCCAUGUGCGUUCACUAAUAUCAUAUUCGCGCCAAUGAACAAGAUAUUCCAGCUUAUUUCGGCGCCGCCUUGAGUCUAAUAUCUCUUCCACCUCAAAUUCUUCAUUAUUAUCUACUUCUAUAGGAGGCGGUGGCAUUUGUCUUCUUCCUUGUAUAUCCACUGUCUUAUAUGGUUCAAGAAGAGAUACGUGGAAUACAGGAUGGAUCUUCAUUGACUCUGGUAGAUGUAACCGAUAUGCAACUGGAUUGAUCUGUUCAGAAACAGAAAAGGGGCCAAGCCUACGAUAGUCCAACUUGUCACAAGGUCGAGUAGUCUUGAUAUUGCGACGAAGUAGCCAUACCUUAUCACCGACGUUGAUCUGUGGUUACUCCUUACGAUAUAGAUCUGCGUUUAUCUUUUGUCGUUCUUGAGCUUCCUUCAAUUGUGUCUUCAUUAUUGCAUGUAACUCUGACAACCGAUUUGCCAUAUCUUCUGCUGCAGGAUUAUCAACUUUUGAAAAAUCAAAAGUAUCAAGUCGUGGAUGAUAGCCAUAAUUGGCAAAGAAAGGUGUUUGUUGCGUGGAAGAAUGUACCGUAUUAUUAUAAGCAAACUCUGCCAAUGGCAGAAGGGUUGUCCAAUCAUCUUGUUGGUAGUUGAUAGUACACCUUAAAUAUUGCUCCAAGACUUGGUUUACGCGCUCUGUUUGUCCAUCAGUUUGAGGAUGAAAAGCCGAAGAUAGUUUUAUGUCCACUUUUAAAAUCUUGAAAAGGGUCCUCCAAAAUCUUGACACAAAUUGAGUUCCCCUAUCCGAUAUGAUAUCUUUAGGUAAUCCAUGAUAGCGAUAGAUAUUAUCAAUGAAAAGCUUAGCUGUUUCUUCACCUGUGAUAGAUUUUGUACAUGGCACAAAAUGUGCCAUCUUGGUGAAACGAUCUACUAUCACAAAUAUAGAAUCAUAAGAUCUUGAGCUUGGAAGAUCUGUGAUGAAAUCCAUAGAAACAGAAGACCAUGGUUGUUCUGGUAUAGGUAAUGGCUGAAGAAGUCCGUAAGGUCGAUGACGAGGAAUUUUUGAUCUUGAACAAAUAUCACAUGAUUGUACAAAGUCUUUGACUGACUUCCACAUUUGUGGCCACCAAAAAUCUCUUGAUAUGAGUUCCAAAGUCUUAUUAUAUCCAAAGUGCCCUGCUGCUGGAAAGUCAUGACGUGCUUGAAGAACACGUAAACGUGCUUCUCCUUCUGGAACAUAUAGGCGUCCUUCAAAAUAUAAUAGAUUAUUCUUGAACUCAAACUUAGAAGGAUCAUGAGACUUGGAAGAAUUAUUCUCGAUAUCAUAAACAAGAGGGUCUGAGGACAUACUGGAUUGGAUUUGCUUGAGAAAAGUUGAAUCAACAGUCAAUGUUGAUUUCAUUGCUCGGAGAUGAAAUUGCUCCGGUUUCAAGAGGACCGUUCUUUGUUGCUCAAAAGCUGCAUCUCCUUCUUUUGGUGCAAAAUAAGAACGUCUAGAUAGGGCAUCGGAUAAACCUUGUUGUUUUCCUGGCCGAUAAGUGAUAAUGAACUCGAAUCUUGACAAAGACAUACUCCAAUGAGCUUGACGACGAUUCAACACGCGUGCUGACAUGAAAUACUCGAGGUUCUUGUGAUCUGUAUACACAGUGACUCGACUAGAAGCGCCUUCUAGAUAAUGACGCCAUUCUUGAAAAGAAUCCACGAUCGCAAGAAGUUCUUUAUCGUGGAUCUCAUAAUUGAUCUCGGCUGUUGAGAAUUUUCUUGAAUGAAAAGCUAUCGGAUGGAGUUUGUCAUCUGUUCCCAUUUGUGAUAAAACUGCACCCAAGGCAAAAUCUGAUGCAUCUGUUUCCAUAAAAAAUGCCUUGGAAAAGUCAACACGAUAUAAGACUGGUGCAGAGACAAACGAUGUCUUCAAGGCUUCAAAUGCUGCUUCCGCUUCUUGAUUCCAUUGAAAUUUAUCUUUACUAGUCAAGCAUGUAAGUGGAGCUGCAACUCGUGAGAAAUCUUUGAUGAAGAUCCGAUAGUAAUUCGCAAAUCCCAAGAAACAUUGAACAUCUCUUACUGUCCUUGGAAUCUUCCAAUCCACGAUAAUUUGGACUUUCUUAGAAUCCAUCAUGAGACCAUCAUUUGAAAUGAUGUAUCGUAAAAAGUCAACUUGAGUAGUGUGAAAUACACACUUUUCCAUCUUGGCGUACAAUCCUGCAUCUCUAAGUUUUUGUAAUACUUGACGAACAUGUAUUUCAUGUUCUUCGACGUUCUUGGAAUAGAUCAGGAUAUCGUCUAGAUAGCAGACGACAAAAUUGUCUAAGAAUUCACGAAAUACAUCAUUCAUGAGAUGUUGAAAAGCAGCAGGUGCAUUCGUGAGUCCAAAAGGCAUGACAUUAUAUUCAAAAUGCCCGUACCUGGUUCGAAACGCAGUUUUCCAUUCAUCUCCUUCUUUGAUCCGUACUAGAUUAUAUGCUCCUCUUAGAUCUAUUUUUGUAUAGAUCUUAGCUUGAUUUAACUGGUCAAGGAGUCCUGAUAUCAAAGGUAAUGGAUACCUGUUCUUGAUUGUGAUCUUGUUGAGUCCUCGAUAAUCAACACACAUUCGUAAAGAUCCAUCUUUUUUCUUUACGAAUAGAAUUGGAGCUCCUGCUGGAGAUUUUGAAUGGCGUAUGAAAUUCUUCGCUAAAUUCUCGUCAAUAUAUGUCUUGAGUUCAGCCAUCUCAUCUUGCGAUAAACUGUAAAUUGGUCCAAAUGGUGGCUGAGUUCCUUCCCUGAGGUCGAUUGAACAAUCAUAUGGACGAUGCUCAGGAAGAAUAUCUGCAUUCUUUUUCUCAAAAACGUCUUGAUACUCCUGAUAUUGACUUGGAAUGCCACUUGAAGUCUUUACGUUUUCAGAAAUAGGUGCAGCAUAAAUAGCAAAAGUUGAUCCUUCUUUUGCUGCGUGUAUAAAUGCUUUUGCACCUAUCAGUACGGGUUUUACUGUACUAGACUUAUAAUUUUUUACUUGGUUCGUAGAACUAUUAAUAACGCUUUUGGAAAAAUCAAGUUUACGCGAAUUCCAAUCUAUUUGAGGGUUAUAUUUUUCUAGCCAGGAUAAACCUAAAAUAACUGGAUUGGACGGGGAUUUAAUUAUGUUAAAAGCUAUGUAGCUAUCAUGACCGUCUAUUGUUACUUUUAUAGGAUGAGUUUCAUGAGUGACAUCUCCAGAAGACAAGGGACGACCAUCUAUGACUUCUACAUGUACUGGUUUAGGUUUCUGUACAUAGGGUAUUUUACGACUUUUAACAAAUUGUUCAUCUAAAAAACAUGCUGAGGCUCCCGAAUCUAAUAAAGCAGAGGCUUUGUAAUUCUUAGGUUCUAAAUAUAAGUCUAUUAUAAAACAAGGAGAGGGUUCUGAGGAGAGGAUAGGACCUUCAUUAGGAAUUGUACAAGGUUCCAGCUGCACGGUCCCUAUUGUAGCUGGACGAAUCCGUUUUUCGACAUGUUGUCUUCUUUGACCGUCGUACCCCUCAUUUUAUAGUUGCGUCGUUUCUUUGGACAAUGUUGAGCAGUGUGCUUAGGUUCUCCGCAAUAUAAACAUAAUCCUUCUUGACGACGACGAAUCUUUUCUUGCUGAGUUAGAGGUUUAAAACGUACCGCGUCAAUUUGCAUGUCUUCUACUUCCGAAUGUACGUUUGGCAAAGAUGUUGAUGUUGCCAUUGAGUAAUAACGUUGAGGUUCCCGUGAAUGAUUCUCAGAUCGAAAUUCAAAAAAUCGAUUAUCACAUUUUACCGCAAAAUCGAUUGCUUGACUCAAAGUUUGAGGAUCAGGUAAGUUGAGCAUCAAUUUCUUUACUUCGUAUUGCAAUCCAUAAAGAAAUUCACUGAUGAGUGCAGCAUCAUCCCACUUGAUGUCAAUUGCAAGUUGUCGAAAUUGUGAAGCAUAUACUGUUACUGAGCGAUUUCCUUGUUGCAGAAUUCGGAUCUUAUUUGUUGCAACACGAGUUGCAUCGUGUUCACCAUACAUAGAUCGAAACUCCGCCAAAAAAGCUUCCAAAUUGUCCAAUAUUGGAUUUCGUUGUUCAAGAAAAGACGAAAACCACGAUAAUGCAGAACCAGAAAGUAGAGUGCCAAUAAACCUGACUUGUGAUCCUGGAGUUGGAUAGCUUUGCGGUUGAAGUUCAAUUGCCAAUUGUACUUGAUUGAUGAACCCUCGAAACUUUGAUCUCGUACCAUCAAAUUUCUCAGGUAAGGCAAUUCUUGGUUCUCUAGUGCUUAUAGGGUGUUGUACAAUUGGAGAAGGAACGUGAUUUGUUGUAGAUGUUGAAGCAGCUCCGAUCAUCUCUAUAUCUCCAUUUUCUGCUAUUCUUGUUCUUUCCUGUGUUGGUGAAUUGAGUUGAUGCAUCGCAAGCAUUAACUCCCUCAUUUGCUCUUGCAUUUGUGCCAUUGCACUCUUCAUUUCAACAAGCUCUGCCAUAAUGACACUAAGAAGAAAAAUUUGUUUGAUAUUGCUCAAGACAAAAGAAAAGAAAGACUUGAUAACAAAGAAGAUACUAAGAACAAUAUCAGUUUAGAAGUGGGUAAUCCGCAAACUUCUAAUACGCUUAUGUCUUGUCAAGAGAAAGGGGUAAUCCACUCUUACUCAAGAAGGCUAUCUCGAUAAAAUAAGUCAAAAUAUAAACAAGUAGGUAUAUUAAAAGGACACUGGAAUGGCUAUUGCCGCAAGACAAGAAACUAAAGACUCUUGAACCUGGACUAGAAGCAAGAAAGGAGUUGACAAGAGUGAAGAAGCCUUCACUCUUAUUUCUAUAUAUACUAUCUAACUAGAGGCUACGUGGCGACGUUCUAUAGGACCUCCAAUAUGUGUUGACUUUGUAGGACACAUGCCUUGACUUACAAGGCAAGUUUUUCUACGUGUGGGCCACAUAGUUAGCUUGAUCUUCAAGCUAACAACAUGUGUGGCACAUGGCCAACUUGUUGACCACGUUUCUAAUCCAAAAUGUCAAUUAAAGACACCUAUGAAGUCAAAGCAACGUCUAGGAAGUUUCUAGGAAGCUUCUAUAUUAAAUAUUAUAUAAUUAACUUACUUUUAUCUACUUUUACUUACUUCUACCUAUUUCUAUAUGUAAUUAUUAGCUUACAUAAUUAUGGCCGUGACAUUCUGCUUAUGCAAGGGUAUGGAGCGAAGAUGGGAGGAAAGCUGUACAAUUUCUAACAGUACCUCCUAACCAUGAACGGAAUCGAGAUAGGUUGAGGGAGAAACCAUUGCCAAAGAUUGUUGAAGGAUUUAAGGAUUUUGGGGAGGUACCACUAUAAAGCGAGAUUAUAGAGGUACAAAAGAGGAGGUACUCUCGCGAGAUGAAGGUGCCUUUGAUGCGAGUUUCAUUGGUAUAUUGCAGAAUGGAAAUAUUAUGUAUAAGAAAGUUGAUGAUUUUAAAAGAAAAGAAAGAAAAAGAUUAUAUAAUAUUGAAGGACAAUUACGCAAGAUAGGUACAUUGCAUGAUGAUGAGAGGAUUUUGGGUGUUUAUGAAGAAAAUGGACUGGAAGAUUCAUUGGAAUUGAUUACAUCUAUUGGGUUAGGGGAUAAUGAUAAGAUUGUUGAGAUUCAUUCGAGAGAGGUUUAUACCAUGCUUGAAUCUUUUCAAGCACCAGAAGUCACAGUAGAGACGAGAUAUAAAACGGCAGAUAAGAAGGUAAAGCCUGUUGCCGGACCAUUACCAGAGGAUUCUAAAGAACAAAUGGGAGAAGCAUCAAAAGAAGCAAGUUUAAGAGAUCCAAUGAGUAUUGGACAUCAGUUUACUAAAGAGACUUUUGAAGAAUUGAAGAUUGGUUCUGAUGGUUCUUUAUUGCCGGAAGAAAUUACUUGCUUCAAAAAGAUGUUGGCUAAACAAGGUAGAUUGUUUGCUUUCGAAUCUCAUGAAAUUAAAUGUGUGGAUCCGAAUAUUAUAACACCUAUGGUUAUCUUCACUGUACCGCAUGUACCUUGGAAUCUAAGACCGAUUCCAGUACCGAGGAUAAAUUUAUCUAAAUUGGUGGAACUAUUAAAAGAAAAGAUAAAGAUGAAAAUAUUGGAACCCUCAUUUGUGCCGUAUUCUAGUCGAUGAUUUACGGUACCUAAGAAGAAUGAGUCACUACGGUUUAUUCAAGAUAUGCAACCAGUGAAUGCAGUAACUGUCAUGAAUGCAGGAAUUGGACCUAUUGUGGAUGAAUUUGCUGAGGCGUUUGCUGGAAGGGCGAUCUAUUCAAUGGGUGAUUUGUAUUCAGGUUAUGAUCAAUUUCAACUUGCCGAAGGAAGUAGAGAUAUGACAACGAUGAGGACAUCGCUUGGAUUGGUUAGAAUGUGCACUCUUCCUCAAGGCGCGACCAACUCAGUUGCACAUAUGAUGAAUGGCAUGAAUAAGGUAUUGAGAGAUUUUAAUCCAGAAAAGACUAUGCCUUUUCUGGAUGAUGUUCCUAUAAAAGGGUGCAGAGAAGGAGACAAGGAUGAAACUUUAGAUACGAGGGGGUGUCGCAGAUAUGUUGUUGAUCAUAUACAAGAUUGUGAAAAGAUUUUAACUCGGCUUGAAGAAGUUCAUCUUACAUUAUCGGGUAUGAAGUCCGUAUUUGGAGUACGAGAGGCCGUAAUUGUUGGACAUUUAUGUGGAUCUUACGGAAGAAAACCAGAUCCGACUAAAGUUGAUGCAAUUGGAAGGAUGAAAGAGGAUUGUGAUUCUUUAACAGAAGUUCGUAGGUUUUUGGGUGCAUGUAUAUUUUAUCGAAUCUGGAUCCGUCAUUAUGCUCACAUAGCGAAUCUAUUAUAUGAACUGUUACGCAAGGGUUACCGAUUUAAAUGGGAAGAAAGGCAUAUUCAGGCAAUGCAAAGAUUGAAGAAAUUAUUGAUGUCACCUCCAAUAUUGAGGAAGGUUGAUUAUAAGUGCAAUAGACCAGUGAUUCUUACUGUAGACGCUAGUCCAAUUGCCAUUGGAUGGGCUAUGGGUCAAGAUGAUUCAAAUGGGAAUAGAUUUGCAGUUCGAUUUGGGGCUAAAAGUUUUAAGUAUUCGUCAACGUGCAAAUUCGCAAGUUAAAAGAGAACUUUGGGGAGUCGUUUCGGCUAUGAAAGCUGAAAAGGACUAUUUGAUUGGGGCAGUAGUAGUAAUUGAAACAGAUUGCUUGCCAUUGCUUGGAAUGAUUAUUAACUGUUCAACGCCAGAUAUUGCAAUGUUGAGAUGGAUUGCUUAUAUUAAGUCACUAAAUCUAGAAUUUAAGCAUAUCACUGGGAAGGACAAUUUAGUAGCAGACAUGCUAUCUCGAGCAAGAUACAAGAGGGAGGACGAAAUGGUUGAAGACAUUGAUAACGUUGGAUUGAAAUUCUAUUCAAUAUCAAAUCUCAACAGAGAAGAUAAGCUAUUUCUUGAAGAAUCUUAAGAAGGAGAAUUAUUGGAUAUUGGUCAUUAUUUGAAUACCUUGUCUAAGCAGGGAAAUUGGUCUACAAAAAAAUUCAAACAAAUAAGAAAAAAAGCAUAUGGAUUUUUACUUCGAGAUGGAUUCUUAUCGAAGAGCCGAAGAAAAGAAUUGAGAUGCCACAACGAGUGAUAGGCAAAAGGGAAGAAAAACUAAAAUUAUUAAAGGAGUUUCAUGAUAGUUUAUAGGCAGGGCAUAGAGGAAUCUAGGCUACUUUUGCUAAACUCAAGGAACGAUAUUGGUGGAAAAAUAUGUAUCGAGAUGUGCUCUCAUUUGUAGAGUCAUGUGAAAUCUGUCAAUCGUAUUCUAAUAUCCGACAUCGAGAUGGUCUUCAUCCUACGUAUUCUCUAACUAUUCAUUUUAAAUGGGUUGUUGAUUUGGUUAUUAUGCCGGUUGGGUUAUGGCAGAUGAGAUAUUUGAUUUUAGCUCGUGAAGAUUUAUCAAAUCAAGUAGAAGGAAGAGCAUUGAGGACAAAAUCUACAGAGGGGAUUUGUAGGUUUUUGCUUGAAGAUGUCAUUUUUCGUUACGGGUGCGUAGGAAAAAUCACUGCAGAUCGUGGAGAAUUAAAUGCACAAGAAGCUCAUAAGUUCUUUGGAAGAUGUGGAGUUAAACUAUCACUGACUACUGCUUAUAAUCCGGAAGGGAAUGCAAAAAGCGAACGUGGUCACCUACCGAUUGUGAAAGCAUUGGUUAAAGCUUGUAAUGGGAAAGUUAAAGAGUGGCCACGGCUUUUGUUAUUUGCAUUAUGGGCUGAUCGAACAAUACAUAGCUCGGCGACAGGAUAUAUGCCAGUAGAACUUAUGACAGGUCAAAAAUCAAUUAUGCCGAUUGAAGAAAAGGUACUUACUUGGAGUAUGCUACCAUAGGAAGAUAGAUUGACAAGAGAAGAACUUCUGGCUAUUAGGAUUCCACAAUUGGAGCACAGAACGGAAUAUGUCUAGAUAGCAUUGGAAAGGUUAAAAAGAGCAAGGUUACAAAACAAGGUGCGAUUCGAUAAGCAACAUCGAUUGAGACCAAAAGCAAUCGAGGAAGGUGACUGGGUACUUGUUUAUGACAAUAGUCUGGAUAAUCAACAUAGUACUUUGCGGAAAUUCUCAAAACGUUGGUUUGGACCAUAUGUGGUAACAAUUGUUCAUGAUAAUGCGACUUACUCAUUACGGGAGUUAGAUGGUAUAAAAUUGAAAAUACCAAUUGCAGGGAAGCGAGUAAAAAUAUUUAAACGAAGACACGCAGAGAUGAAUAUACAAGACCUUAAUGAAGGUAUAGAGAUUCCGCAGCAAGAAGAUGAAAGUGAUUUGGAUAAUGAAGGUGACGAAGACGAACUGGACAAAGACGUAGAGGAUAUAUUCUGAAUCAAACAGCAAUUGGGUAAAUUGGUGCAUACCGGAGGAUGCACAGGUUCAGAGGAGGUGGAUGUCAUGUUGUAACACGAGUAUACUAUGAAAAAAUAAAAAAAGGGACUUUUAUUAAUAUUCAAUUACCUCAAAUAUUGGGAGCAACGACCAAUUCAAGUGCAAAUACUGAGUGGCCUGGUUCAGUCACCCGGUUACAGUCAGCCAGGACAUACUAAAAUACUCCAUUCGAUUCCAAUAACGGGAGGCAGUAGGAAGAGAAGGACCAAUUCACACGACGGGUUCAAAGAGCCAAUUGGAUCCAAUUUCGAAAAUCCAAUCCAGUUCCUCUUACCCAAUAUGAGACUUGAAUUGGCCGGGGAAUCCAAUGCAGACCCAAUUACGGGAACAUCCAGGUUAUUACGGGCAUCUUAGCCAAUAUGGGACCUGAAUUGGUCGGGCGACUCAAUGUGGUCCCGAUUACGGGGUUUCGAUGCUGUUUCGGGCUGUCCUGUUCUCUGUGCCAUUUCAGGGAACGUUGUUUUCAGUAAAAGGAUCUCUUAAAGGUAGAAACGGAGGAAAAAAAAGCUCUGACGGUGAGAGCCAAUUUCGGAUCCAAGCUUUGAUGGCGAGAGCCAAUUCCGGAUCCAAGACGAAAGAUUGAAGAAAUUCAGAGGAUAAGGUUAGGAGAGAGAGUUUUUUUUGGCGGGGGGUUUUUUUUUUUUUUUUCUGGGAAUCGGGGGGAGCUAAUUCGCAAGCUUUUGCAAGGUUACUAGUUCGGUUUUCAUUGGAGGUUUUUGAAGAUCAAGGAGAUUAGAGAGAGGGGGCUUCAUGCUUCGGGUCGGGAAAGGAAAGACAUAGAAUUUGGAUUUUUCUUCUUCAUAGAGUUUUGGGAAGACUGAGGCAAUCGCUGCUGAAGUCAGUAUUGUAAUGGUGAAUCAGGAUUUUUAAUGAAAUGGUUUGAAUACUCUUGACUAUUUUGUGAAAUCGAGUUAGGUCUGUGAUUGAAGGAUUAAAAGGGUGUCUAUAGGAUUGAGUAUGCGGAGUGAAUGAAAUUUAUUGGGUUAAUCUAACAAGACAGUCAGUGGAUAGAAGAUCGUAAGUACAAAGUGGUAUUGAAGAUUAACAGUUUGGAUUGUUCGGGGUUCUCUAUAGCGUCUAGAGACCUACCGGCUGGGACAAAAAAGGACUUUGACAAGCAGUCAGAGGGCAUCCAGAUAGAUUUACGGUACAUUGUUGCAGUCGUUUAUAUUCCAGUAGUCAAAACUGAUAGACUACUUGACUAUCGGUGAAUCUCCAUACUACCUUCUACAGCCAAAUGCCUGGUACGUUCUCGAGUAGGAAAGCACGUAAUACGACACUGCUUGGCUUACGGGAUUAAUUGGAAUAAACCUCGGGAUAGACCCAUCUUCCUUCUUCCAAUGCCUUUCAUAACUUCUCUCGAUUAAAUCUAUAACACACGCCGCUGUUUUGGCUUCCUCCAAAGUGGCUGGGUUUUUCUCCAAUACUCCCUUGAUUGUAGAUCGAUUAGCAAAUCCUUCAAUAAAGAAUUACUUUAACGUAUCGCCAUUCAACAAUCCUCCUACAUAACGCAUGCAGACCAAGUCAAACCUCCUGAUGUAGUUAGCCAUUUCCUCGUCUCUUUGCUGUCGUACCGCUCCCAAUGCUCUCAAGGCUGUACUUUGUCCAACCUCCGGCCUAAAGUGGUUUAAGAAGGCUACUUGCAACUGGGACCACGUAGUAAAAUAUCCCUCAUCAUGGUCUCGAUACCAAUUGUAAGCCUCACCAUGUAAGGUUCCGGGGAACCAAAUCAGGUAAUACCCCUCGUUCCCAAUGAGGGAUGUUGUCAAAAUCUCUAUGUACCUCUCCAUGUGUAGGGUUGGAUCCUCGUCCUUGGUGCCAUAGAACUUGAGGAGAUUCCCUGGAACUGUAGCCGCUAAUAGCCCUGCUGGCAUAGCCAUGGACAAACCUCGUGGCCUAACUAAGGGAUCCAAAGCUGGAAGCCGCUCCGUCGCCAUCUCGUGAACAAAUCCUUCGACCGCUGUCGUGUUGUAACACGAGUAUACAGUGAAAAUAAAAAGAAAGGAGAAUUUUAUUAAUAUUCAGUUACCUCGAAUAUUGGGAGCAUCGACCAACUCCAGUACAAAUACUGAGUGCUCAGGUUCAGUCACUCCGUUACAGUCAGCCGCGGCAUACUGAAAUGCUCCAUUCGAUUCCAAUAACGGGAGUCAGCAGGAAGAGAAGGACCAAUUCACACGACGGGUUUGAAGAGCCAAUUGGAUCCAAUUUUGAGAAUCCAAUCCGGGUCCUCUUAUCCAAUAUGAGACCUGAAUUGGCCGGUCAACCCAAUGCAGUCCAAUUACGAGAACAUCCAGGUUACUACGGGCAUCUUUCCCAAUAUAGGACCUGAAUUGGUCGGGCGACUCAAUGUGGUCUAAUUACGGGAAAUCCAGGUCUUACUACGGGUCUUAGCCAAUCUGACGCGAGGACCAAUUUGACCCAAUUACGGGAACAUCUAGGUUACUACGGGCAUCUUUCCCGAUAUAGGACCUGAAUUGGUCGGACGACUCAAUGUGGUCCCGAUUACGGGGUUCGAUUCUGUUUCAGGCUGUCCUGUUCUCUGUGCCGUUUCAGGGAACGUUGUUUUUGGUAAAUGGAUUUCUUAAAGGUAAAAAUGGAGGAGAAAGCUUGACGGCGAGAGCCAAUUUCGGAUCCAAGCUUGAAGUGGGAGCCAAUUCCGGAUCUAAGACGGAAGAUUGAAGAAAUUCAGAGGAUAAGGUUAGGGAGGAUAUAGUUUUCAGGGGGGAAUCGAGAGGGAAGGAAUUUUUUUCAAGCUUUUGCAAGGUUACCAGUUCGGUUUCCAUUGGAGGUUUUUUUUUGGAAGAUCAAGGGAAUUAGAGAGAGGAGCUUCAUGCUUCGGGUCGGGCAAAGAAAGACAUAGAAUUUGGAUUUUUCUUCUUCAUAGAGUUUUGGGAAGACUAAGGCAAUCGCUGCUGAAGUCAGUGUUGUAAUGGUGAAUCGGGAUUUUUAAAUGAAGUGGGUUUGAAUACUCUUGACUGUUUUGUAAAAUCGAGUUACGUCUGUGAUUGAAGGAUUAAAGGGGUGUCUGUAGGAUUGAGUAUGCGGAGUAAAUGAAAUUUAUUGGGUUAAUCUAACAGGACAGUCAGUGGAUACAAGAUCGUAAGUACAAAGGGGUAUUGAAGAUUAACAGUUUGGGUUGUUCGGGGUUCUCUGUAACGUCUAGAGACCUACCGGCAGGGACAAAAAGGACUUCGAUAAGCAGUCAGAGGGCAUCCAGAUAGAUUUACGGUACAUUGUUGCAGUCGUUUAUAUUCCAGCAGUCAAAACUGAUAGACUGCUUGACUAUCGGUGAAUCUCCAUACUACCUUCUACAGCCAGACGCCCGGUGCGUUCUUGAGCAGGAAAGCACGUAAUACGACAAAAAGUGGUGAACCCGACGUGAAAGCUUGAGGUGGAAGGUAUUGGAUUUCGGUUGAUUUUAUCUUUAUUUUUAUGGAAAACGAAAAUAAAAAUUUUGAAGGAUUUUUGGGAGAAGUUUCUGGUGGGGAGUCUUCUAAAGGACAAGGUAUGCACAUGGAUCCAUCUAUCGCUAGUUUGUUUCAAGCCUUCUCAUUGUCAAUGCAGCAACAGCAAAGCAAUGAUCGAAAGGAAGCUUUGGCAACCAAAGCAUUGCAAGCAGUGGUCAAUAAAAUUGAUCAAUUUGAUGGGAGGAAUAUUUCAAGGUAUUUAAGAUGUUAUGUUCGUGAAAUGGAAUUAAAUCGGGUUUCUGAGAAGAAAAUGGUUGCACUAUUUGGACUUGCCACGAUACCGGAGAUAAGGGACCACAUUACAUCGAUUGCAGAUCGUUGUGGGAAUUCAUGGGAGGAUUUUUCACAUGCAUUGAAAGACGAAUAUUUCUUGAAAGAUGCUGAUCGCGUUACUAAGAAGCUGUUUCUGGGAUGGAUUGAACGGCCCAAUAAGAAUUUACAAGCAACAGAGCUACUAAGGGAAUUUGAGAGGCAGUACUCUCAAUUAUCGAAGGUAGAAAAAUUGACAUUGGAGCCGAACAAAGUUCAUCUAUUUCUUCAAGCUGCUGAUGGAAAAUUGCAAGAGAAAUUAGAACCCCUUCUUGAAGACAAAGAAGAAGAUGAAGGAUUGACAACGAAGUGGAAGAACGUUGAAGAUGCGGUGGGUUUGCUUACAAAAAAAGAAAGGAGGAAGGAUAGGAGCAAUAUUCCGAAAACAGUACAAGCACCCAAAGCUCCAGUACGUACAACACCACCGACAAUGCCUACAGUUCAAUCGUCGACAUCCUUGUCAAAGAAAGCAGAUAUGGGUAUAGAAGAAAUUAUACGAGGAAUGCAAGAUCUUCAAAUCAAAUUGGCAAGACUUGAAGAGAAUACUUCUAUAAACAAUUCGAAGAAUGUUUCAAAACAAGGAUAUGUACAAAGAUGCAUUUGGUGUGAUGAUGCUUCACACACUAGAAAAGAUUGCAAUGAAUUUAAUAAUAUGAUACGGCAGGGAAUUAUUUGCUGGAAAGAUGAGAAGAUAGCAUUGAAAGAUAGGGAGGAUCUUCUUCAAACCAAUUUUGGCAAAGGAGGAAUGAGAGCAUUGGUUCAAGAUUACUUAAAAGAGCAUGAAACAGUAGUACGAGAAAGUGCAAGUUAUGGUGCUAGAGUAGAUGAUGAAAUUGUUGGAAGUACGGAAACUAGUGAGUUUUGGGCUUCUGCCGUUUCUACAAUGCAAGAAGAGAAAUUACCUCGAGAAGCGUUAUUGAGAACUGCAGCUAUAAUACGAGGAAGAACAAGUUGGGAGGAUCCUGUUGAGUCUCUUUCAGUUCAUGCAUAUAUUGCUAAGAGCCAACAUGAAGCUUUGAUGGAAGAAAAAAGACGAGGAAAUUUUGAUGAUAUUAGAGAAGAAAAUUCUUUUAAGAGGUAAACUCGAGGAGACAAGGUUCGGGAGGCAGCUUCACAAGAAUUACCUGUAAAGGAUACCUCAGCAUCAUUGGGAGAAAAAACAACGGAGACAAAAGAUAAGGGCAAAUCAAUUGCUUAUAAGCUACUUUCUGACAUUGAAGCGGCAACAAAUUUGAAAGGGAUGUUGGAAGAACCUAUCUUAAACGCUAAGGUGGAAUUCACAUUGAAAGAAGUCUUGGGAAUUGCAAAGAAGGAGUUUCAUGAUGUUAUCAUUGACAACAUUAAGCGAAAGAGGCAAUUAAUGAGUAAAACUAGAAUGAGUCAUGCUAUUGAUGCAAAAAUAUGUAGAGAUGAAGAAGAGGUUGAUAUUGGUUACAAGCAACCAACAAAUGAAAAGAAUGGGUAUAAUCAGCGAGUACGUUUCGAAGAUUUUAGUGACAAGGAAAUGGAAACUUUGAGCCAUUAUACUCGAAACCAUUGGGCAAGGGCAACUACUGAGGUAUUAGUGAAGGUAGGAGAUAUAAAAGAACCAAUAGUUGCCUUGGUGGACCAUGGUUCUGAAAUAAAUCUCAUGUCUAAAGAUCUUUAUAAGAAGCAAAAAUGGCCAAUUGAUAUGCAACAUGGAUGGGCAAUACGAGCAGCUAAUAACACACGAGGCAAAUUAUAUGGAGCUUGUCCAGAUGUCAAAAUUUGGAUUGGGGAUGUUGCAACGGAGCAACAUUUCUUCGUUCAAGAUACAACGCCUUAUCCGUUGAUUUUAAGACAACCUUAUAUCACGGCAACACGGAUGGAAACAAAGGUACUUGACGAUGGUUCUGCUUAUGCAAAGGUACGGAGCGAAGAUGGGAGGAAAGCUGUACAAUUUCUAACAGUACCUCCUAACCAUGAACGGAAUCGAGAUAGGUUGAGGGAGAAACCAUUGCCAAAGAUUGUUGAAGGAUUUAAGGAUUUUGGGGAGGUACCACUGUAAAAACGAGAUUAUGGAGGUACAAAAGAGGAGGUGCUCUCGCGAGAUGAAGGUGCCUUUGAUGCGAGUUUUAUUGGUAUAUUGGAGAAUGGAAAUAUUAUGUAUAAGAAAGUUGAUGAUUUUAAAAGAAAAGAAAGAAAAAGAUUAUAUGAUAUUGAAGGACAGUUACGCAAGAUAGGUACAUUACAAGAUGAUGAGAGGAUUUUGGGUGUUUAUGAAGAAAAUGGACUGGAAGAUUCAUUGGAAUUGAUUAUAUCUAUUGGGUUAGGGGAUAAUGAUAAGAUUGUUGAGAUUCAUUCGAGAGAGGUUUAUACCAUGCUUGAAUCUUUUCAAGCACCAGAAGUUACAGUAGAGACGAGAUAUAAAACGGCAGAUAAGAAGGUAAAGCCUGUUGCCGGACCAUUACCAGAGGAUUCUAAAGAACAAAUGGGAGAAGCAUCAAAAGAAGCAAGUUUAAGAGAUCCAAUGACUAUUGGACAUCAGUUUACUAAAGAGACUUUUGAAGAAUUGAAGAUUGGUUCUGAUGGUUCUUUAUUGCCGGAGGAAAUUACUUGCUUCAAAAAGAUGUUGGCUAAACAAGGUAGAUCGUUUGCCUUUGAAGCUUAUAAAAUUAGGUGUGUAGAUCCAAAUAUUAUAACACCUAUGGUUAUCUUCACUGUAUCGCAUGUACCUUAGAAUCUAAGAUCGAUUCGAGUACGAAGGAUAUAUUAACCUAAAUUGGUGGAACUAUUGAAAGAAAAGAUAAAGAUGAAAAUAUUAGAACCUUCAUUUGCGCCGUAUUCUAGUCGAUGGUUUACGGUACCUAAGAAGAAUGGGUCACUAUGGUUUAUUCAAGAUAUGCAACCAGUGAAUGCAGUUAUUGUCAUGAAUGCAGGAAUUGGACCUAUUGUGGAUGAAUUUGCUGAGGCGUUUGCUGGAAGGGCGAUCUAUUCAAUGGUUGAUUUGUAUUCAGGUUAUGAUCAAUUUCAACUUGCCGAAGGAAGUAGAGAUAUGACAACGAUGAGAACACCGCUUGGAUUGGUUAGAAUGUGCACUCUUCCUCAAGGCGCGACCAACUCAGUUGCGCAUAUGAUGAAUGGGAUGAAUAAGGUAUUGAGAGAUUUUAUUCCGGAAAAGAUUAUGCCUUUUCUAAAUGAUGUUCCUAUAAAAGGGUGUAGAGAAGGAGACAAGGAUGAAACUUUAGAUACGAGGGGGUGUCGCAGAUAUGUUGUUGAUCAUAUACAAGAUUGUGAAAAGAUUUUAACUCGGCUUGGAGAAGUUCAUCUUACAUUAUCGGGUAUGAAGUCCGUAUUUGGAGUGCGAGAGGUUGUAAUUCUUGGACAUUUAUACGGAUCUUAUGGAAGAAAACCAGAUCCGACUAAAGUUGAUGCAAUUGGAAGGAUGAAAGAGGAUUGUGAUUCUUUAACAAAGGUUCGCAUGUUUUUGGGUGCAUGUGUAUUUUGUCGAAUCUGGAUCCCUCAUUUUGCUCACAUAGCAGAUCCAUUAUAUGAACUGUUACGCAAAGGUUACCGAUUUGAAUGAAAAGAAAGGCAUAAUCAGGCAAUGCAAAGAUUGAAGAAAUUAUUGAUGUUACCUCCAAUAUUGAGGAAGGUUGAUUAUAAGUGCAAUAGACCAGUGAUUCUUACUGUAGACGCUAGUACAAUUGCCAUUGGAUGGGCUGUGGGUCAAGAUGAUUCGAAUGGGAAUAGAUUUGUAAUUCGAUUUGGGGCUAAAGUUUUAAGUAUUCGUCAGCGUGCAUAUUCGCAAGUCAAAAGAGAACUUUGGGGAGUGGUUUCGGCUAUGAAAGCUGAAAAGGACUAUUUGAUUGGGGCAGUAGUAGUAAUUGAAACAGAUUGCUUGCCAUUGCUUGGAAUGAUUAUUAACUGUUCAACGCCAGAUAUUGCAAUGUUGAGAUGGAUUGCUUAUAUUAAGUCACUAAAUCUAGAAUUUAAGCAUAUCACUGAAAAGGACAAUUUAGUAGCAGACAUGCUAUCUUGAGCAAGAUACGAGAGGGAGGACGAAAUGGUUGAAGACAUUGAUGAUGUCGGAUUGAAAUUCUAUUCAAUAUCAAAUCUCAACAGAGAAGACAAGCUAUUUCUUGAAGAAUCUUAUGAAGGAGAAUUAUUGGAUAUUGGUCAUUAUUUGAAUACCUUGUCUAAGCAGGGGAAUUGGUCUACAGAAAAAUUCAAACAAAUAAGAAAAAAAGCAUAUGGAUUUUUACUUCGAGAUGGAUUCUUAUGGAAGAGACCGAAGAAAGGAAUUGAGAUGCCACAACGAGUGAUAGGCAAAAGGAAAGAAAAACUAAAAUUAUUAAAGGAGUUUCAUGAUAGUUUAUGGGAGGGCAUAGAGGAAUCUGGGCUACUUUUGCUAAACUCAAGGAACGAUAUUGGUGGAAAAAUAUGUAUCGAGAUGUGCUCUCAUUUGUAGAGUCAUGUGAAAUCUGUCAAUCGUAUUCUAAUAUCCGACAUCGAGAUGGUCUUCAUCCUACGUAUCCUCUGGCUAUUCAUUUUAAAUGGGUUGUUGAUUUGGUUAUUAUGCCGGUUGGGUUAUGGCAGAUGAGAUAUUUGAUUUUAGCUCGUGAAGAUUUAUCAAAUCAAGUAGAAGGAAGAGCAUUGAGGACAAAAUCUACAGAGGGGAUUUGUAGGUUUUUGCUUGAAGAUGUCAUUUGCCGUUACGGGUGCGUAGGAAAAAUCACUGCAGAUCGUGGAGAAUUAAAUGCACAAGAAGCUCGUAAGUUCUUUGAAAAAUGUGGAGUUAAACUAUCACUGAUUACUGCUUAUAAUCCGGAAGGGAAUGCGAAAAGCGAACGCGGUCACCCGCCGAUUGUGAAAGCAUUGGUUAAAGCUUGUAAUGGGAAGGUUAAAGAGUGGCCACGGCUUUUGUCAUUUGCAUUAUGGGCUGAUCGAACAACACAUAGUUUGGUGACAGGAUAUAUGCCAGUAGAACUUAUGACAGGUCAAAAAUCAAUUAUGCCGAUUGAAGAAAAGAUACUUACUUGGAGUAUGCUACCAUGGGAAGAUGGAUUGACAAGAGAAGAACUUCUGGCUAUUAGGAUUCCACAAUUGGAGCAAAGAACGGAAGAUGUCCAGAUAGCAUUGGAAAGGUUAAAAAGAACAAGGUUACAAAACAAGGCGCGAUUCGAUAAGCAACAUCGAUUGAGACCAAAAGUAAUCGAGGAAGGUGACUGAGUACUUGUUUAUGACAAUAGUCUAGAUAAUCAACAUAGUACUUUGCGGAAAUUUUCAAAACGUUGGUUUGGACCAUAUGUUGUAACAACUGUUCAUGAUAAUGCGACUUACUCAUUACGGGAGUUAGAUGGUAUAAAAUUGAAAAUACCAAUUGCAGGGAAGCGAGUAAAAAUAUUUAAACGAAGACACGCAGAGAUGAAUAUGGAAGACCUUAAUGAAGGUACAGAGAUUCUGUAGCAAGAAGAUAAAAGUGAUAUGGAUAAUGAAGGUGACGAAGACGAACUGGACAAAGACGUAGGGGAUAUAUUCUGAAUCAAACAGCAAUUGGGUAAAUUGGUGCAUACCGGAGGAUGCACAGGUUCAGAGGGGGUGGAUGUUGUAUUGUAACACGAGUAUACUGUGAAAAUAAAAAGAAAGGGGAAUUUUAUUUAUAUUCAGUUAUCUCGAAUAUUGGGAGCAUCGACCAACUCCAGUACAAAUACUGAGUGGUCAGGUUCACUCACUCCGUUACAGUCAGCCGGGGCAUACUGAAAUGCUCCGUUCGAUUCCAAUAACCGGAGUCGGCAGGAAGAGAAGGACCAAUUCACACGACGGGUUCGAAGAGCCAAUUGGAUCCAAUUUUGAGAAUCCAAUCUGGAUCCUCUUAUUCAAUAUGAGACCUGAAUUGGCCGGUCAACCCAAUGCAGUCCAAUUACGAGAACAUCCAGGUUACUACGGGCAUCUUUCCCAAUAUAGGACCUGAAUUGGUCGGGCGACUCAAUGUGGUCUAAUUACGGGAAAUCCAGGUCUUACUACGGGUCUUAGCCAUUCUGACGCGAGGACCAAUUUGACCCAAUUACGGGAACAUCUAGGUUACUACGGGCAUCUUUCCCGAUAUAGGACCUGAAUUGGUCGGAUGACUCAAUGUGGUCCCGAUUACGGGAUUCGAUUCUGUUUCAGGCUGUCCUGUUCUCUGUGCCGUUUCAGGGAACGUUGUUUUCAGUAAAUGGAUUUCUUAAAGGUAAAAAUGGAGGAGAAAGCUUGACGGCGAGAGCCAAUAUGGAUCCAAGCUUGAGGUGGGAGCCAAUUCCAGAUCUAAGACGGAAGAUUGAAGAAAUUCAGAGGAUAAGGUUAGGGGGGAUAUAGUUUUGAGGGGGGAAUCGAGGGGGGAGGAGUUUUUUUCAAGCUUUUGCAAGGUUACCAGUUUGGUUUUCAUUGGAGGUUUUUUUGAAGAUCAAGGAAAAUAGAGAGAGAAGCUUCAUGCUUCGGGUCGGGGAAGGAAAGACAUNNNNNNNNNNNNNNNNNNNNNNNNNNNNNNNNNNNNNNNNNNNNNNNNNNNNNNNNNNNNNNNNNNNNNNNNNNNNNNNNNNNNNNNNNNNNNNNNNNNNNNNNNNNNNNNNNNNNNNNNNNNNNNNNNNNNNNNNNNNNNNNNNNNNNNNNNNNNNNNNNNNNNNNNNNNNNNNNNNNNNNNNNNNNNNNNNNNNNNNNNNNNNNNNNNNNNNNNNNNNNNNNNNNNNNNNNNNNNNNNNNNNNNNNNNNNNNNNNNNNNNNNNNNNNNNNNNNNNNNNNNNNNNNNNNNNNNNNNNNNNNNNNNNNNNNNNNNNNNNNNNNNNNNNNNNNNNNNNNNNNNNNNNNNNNNNNNNNNNNNNNNNNNNNNNNNNNNNNNNNNNNNNNNNNNNNNNNNNNNNNNNNNNNNNNNNNNNNNNNNNNNNNNNNNNNNNNNNNNNNNNNNNNNNNNNNNNNNNNNNNNNNNNNNNNNNNNNNNNNNNNNNNNNNNNNNNNNNNNNNNNNNNNNNNNNNNNNNNNNNNNNNNNNNNNNNNNNNNNNNNNNNNNNNNNNNNNNNNNNNNNNNNNNNNNNNNNNNNNNNNNNNNNNNNNNNNNNNNNNNNNNNNNNNNNNNNNNNNNNNNNNNNNNNNNNNNNNNNNNNNNNNNNNNNNNNNNNNNNNNNNNNNNNNNNNNNNNNNNNNNNNNNNNNNNNNNNNNNNNNNNNNNNNNNNNNNNNNNNNNNNNNNNNNNNNNNNNNNNNNNNNNNNNNNNNNNNNNNNNNNNNNNNNNNNNNNNNNNNNNNNNNNNNNNNNNNNNNNNNNNNNNNNNNNNNNNNNNNNNNNNNNNNNNNNNNNNNNNNNNNNNNNNNNNNNNNNNNNNNNNNNNNNNNNNNNNNNNNNNNNNNNNNNNNNNNNNNNNNNNNNNNNNNNNNNNNNNNNNNNNNNNNNNNNNNNNNNNNNNNNNNNNNNNNNNNNNNNNNNNNNNNNNNNNNNNNNNNNNNNNNNNNNNNNNNNNNNNNNNNNNNNNNNNNNNNNNNNNNNNNNNNNNNNNNNNNNNNNNNNNNNNNNNNNNNNNNNNNNNNNNNNNNNNNNNNNNNNNNNNNNNNNNNNNNNNNNNNNNNNNNNNNNNNNNNNNNNNNNNNNNNNNNNNNNNNNNNNNNNNNNNNNNNNNNNNNNNNNNNNNNNNNNNNNNNNNNNNNNNNNNNNNNNNNNNNNNNNNNNNNNNNNNNNNNNNNNNNNNNNNNNNNNNNNNNNNNNNNNNNNNNNNNNNNNNNNNNNNNNNNNNNNNNNNNNNNNNNNNNNNNNNNNNNNNNNNNNNNNNNNNNNNNNNGUCAGCCGGGGCAUACUGAAAUGCUCCGUUCGAUUCCAAUAACCGGAGUCGGCAGGAAGAGAAGGACCAAUUCACACGACGGGUUCGAAGAGCCAAUUGGAUCCAAUUUUGAGAAUCCAAUCUGGAUCCUCUUAUUCAAUAUGAGACCUGAAUUGGCCGGUCAACCCAAUGCAGUCCAAUUACGAGAACAUCCAGGUUACUACGGGCAUCUUUCCCAAUAUAGGACCUGAAUUGGUCGGGCGACUCAAUGUGGUCUAAUUACGGGAAAUCCAGGUCUUACUACGGGUCUUAGCCAUUCUGACGCGAGGACCAAUUUGACCCAAUUACGGGAACAUCUAGGUUACUACGGGCAUCUUUCCCGAUAUAGGACCUGAAUUGGUCGGAUGACUCAAUGUGGUCCCGAUUACGGGAUUCGAUUCUGUUUCAGGCUGUCCUGUUCUCUGUGCCGUUUCAGGGAACGUUGUUUUCAGUAAAUGGAUUUCUUAAAGGUAAAAAUGGAGGAGAAAGCUUGACGGCGAGAGCCAAUAUGGAUCCAAGCUUGAGGUGGGAGCCAAUUCCAGAUCUAAGACGGAAGAUUGAAGAAAUUCAGAGGAUAAGGUUAGGGGGGAUAUAGUUUUGAGGGGGGAAUCGAGGGGGGAGGAGUUUUUUUCAAGCUUUUGCAAGGUUACCAGUUUGGUUUUCAUUGGAGGUUUUUUUGAAGAUCAAGGAAAAUAGAGAGAGAAGCUUCAUGCUUCGGGUCGGGCAAGGAAAGACAUAGAAUUUGGAUUUUUCUUCUUCAUAGAGUUUUGGGAAGACUAAGGCAAUCGCUGCUGAAGUCAGUGUUGUAAUGGUGAAUCGGGAUUUUUAAAUGAAGUGGGUUUGAAUACUCUUGACUGUUUUAUAAAAUCGAGUUAUGUCUGUGAUUGAAGGAUUAAAGGGGUGUCUAUAUGAUUGAGUAUGCGGAGUGAAUGAAAUUUAUUGGGUUCAUCUAACAGGACAGUCAGUGGAUACAAGAUCGUAAGUACAAAGGGGUAUUGAAGAUUAACAGUUUGGGUUGUUCGGGGUUCUCUGUAACGAGGAUUCAUCAAUCAGGUCCAACUAGUGAUUGAACUUCAACCCCAGAGCUAUCCAACUCCAGGGUCACAAGUAAGAUUCAUUGGUACACUUCUUUCAGGUUUAGCAUUGUCAUGGUUUUCAUCUUUUCUUGAACGACGAGAUCCAAUAUUGGAUAAUCUGGAGGCUUUUUUGGCGGAGUUUCGAUCCAUGUUUGGAGAACAUGAUGCAAUUCGUGUUGCAACCAACAAGAUCCGUAUUUUGCGACAAGGCAAUCGAUCAGUAACAUUAUAUGCUUCGCAAUUUCGACAACUUGCAACUGAUAUCAAGUGGGAUGAUGCCGCACUUGUGAGUCAAUUUCUCUACGGAUUACAAUAUGAGGUAAAGAAAUUGAUGCUUAAUUUACCUGAUCCUCAAACAUUGAGUCAAGCAAUUGACUUUGCUGUGAAGUGCGACAAUCGACUUUUUGAAUUUCGAUCCGAGAGUCGCACAAGUGGGCCUCAACGUUACUACAAUUCAAUGGCAACACCGACGUCUCCUCAACACAUACCUUCGGAAGUAGAGGAUAUGCAAAUUGAUGCGGUACGUUUCAAACCUCUUACUGAGCAAGAAAAGUCUCGUCGUCGACAAGAAGGAUUGUGCUUAUAUUGUGGAGAACCUAAGCACACUGCUCAACAUUGUCCAAAGAAGCGACGUAACUACAAAAUGAGGAGUACGGCUGUCAAAGAAGACAGUAUGUCAGAAAACGAGUACGUCCAGCUACAAUAGGGACCGUGCGACUGGAAUCUUGUACAACUUCUAAUAAAGGUCCUAUCCUCUCCUCAAAACCAUCUCCUUGUUUUAUAAUAGAUGUGCGUUUAGGACCUAAUAAUUACAAAGCCUCUGCCUUGGUAGAUUCAGGAGCCUCAUCUUGUUUUUUAGAUGAAGAAUUUGCUAGAUGUCAUAGAAUAUCAUUAAUACAAAAAACUAAACCUGUACACGUAGAAGUCAUAGAUGGUCGUCCGUUGUCUUCUGGAGAUGUAACUCACGAAACACUUCCUGUAGAUGUAGUAAUAAAUGGUCAUAGUAGUUGCGUAAUUUUUAAUAUAAUUAGAUCUCCCUCUAAUCCAGUAAUUUUAGGCUUAUCAUGGUUAGAAAAGUAUAAUCCUCGAAUAGAUUGGAUUUCUCGUAAACUUGAUUUUCCUCAGAGCAUUAGUAACAGUUCUAUUAACCAAGUAAAAAACCAUGAGUCUAGUAUAGUAAAACUCACACCUAUAGGUGCAAAAGCAUUUAUACACGCAGCAAAAGAAGGAUCAACUUUUGCUAUUUAUGCUGCACCUAUUUCUGAAAGCGUAAAGACUUCAAGUGGCAUUCCAAGUCAAUAUCAGGAUUAUCAAGACGUUUUUGAGAAAAAGAAUGCAGAUAUUCUUCCUGAGCAUCGCCCAUACGAUUAUUCAAUCGAUCUCAAGGAAGGAACUCAGCCACCAUUUGGACCAAUUUACAGUUUAUCGCAAGAUGAGUUGGCUGAACUCAAGACAUAUAUUGACGAGAAUUUAGCGAAGAAUUUCAUACGCCAUUCAAAAUCUCCAGCAGGAGCUCCAAUUUUAUUCGUAAAGAAAAAGGAUGGAUCUUUACGAAUGUGUGUUGACUAUCGAGGACUCAACAAGAUCACAAUCAAGAACAGGUAUCCAUUACCUUUGAUAUCAGGACUCCUUGACCAGUUAAAUCAAGCUAAGAUCUAUACAAAAAUAGAUCUAAGAGGAGCAUAUAAUCUAGUACGGAUCAAAGAAGGAGAUGAAUGGAAAACUGCGUUUCGAACCAGGUACGGGCAUUUUGAAUAUAAUGUCAUGCCUUUUGGACUCACAAAUGCACCAGCUGCUUUUCAACAUCUCAUGAAUGAUGUAUUUCGUGAAUUCUUAGACAAUUUUGUCGUCUGCUACCUAGACGAUAUCCUGAUUUAUUCUAAGAAUGUUGAAGAACAUGAAAUACAUGUUCGUCAAGUAUUACAAAAACUCAGAGAUGCAGGAUUGUACGCCAAGAUGGAAAAGUGUGUAUUUCACACUACUCAAGUUGACUUUUUAGGAUACAUCAUUUCAAAUGAUGGUCUUAUGAUGGAUUCUAAGAAAGUCCAAACAAUCAUGGAUUGGAAGAUUCCAAAGACUGUGAGAGAUGUCCAAUGUUUCUUGGGAUUUGCCAAUUACUAUCAGAUCUUCAUCAAAGACUUCUCACGAGUUGCAGCUCCACUUACACGCUUGACUAGUAAAGAUAAAUUCCAAUGGAAUCAAGAAGCGGAAGUAGCAUUUGAAGCCUUGAAGACAUCGUUUGUCUCUACACCAGUCUUAUAUCGUGUUGACUUUUCCAAGGCAUUUUUUAUGGAAACAGACGCAUCGGAUUUUGCCUUGGAUGCAGUUUUAUCACAAAUGGGAACAGAUGACAAACUUCAUCCGAUAGCUUUUCAUUCAAGAAAAUUCUCAGCAGCCGAGAUCAAUUAUGAGAUCCACGAUAAAGAACUUCUUGCAAUCGUGGAUUCCUUUCAAGAAUGGCGUCAUUAUCUAGAAGGUGCUUCUAGUCCAGUCACUGUGUAUACAGAUCACAAGAACCUCGAGUAUUUCAUGUCAGCACGCGUGUUGAAUCGUCGUCAAGCUCGUUGGAGUAUGUCUUUGUCAAGAUUCGACUUCAUUAUCACUUAUCGGCCAGGAAAACAACAAGGUUUGUCCGAUGCCUUGUCUAGACGUUCUUAUUUUGUACCAAAAGAAGGAGAUGCAGCUUUUGAGAAAUAAAGAACGGUCCUCUUGAAACCGGAGCAAUUUCAUCUCCGAGCAGUGAAAUCAACAUUGACUGUUGAUUCAACUUUUCUCAAGCAAAUCCAGUCCAGUAUGUCCUCAGACCCUCUUGUUCAUGAUAUCGAGAAUAAUUCUUCCAAGUCUCAUGAUUCUUCUAAGUUCGAGUUCAAGAAUAAUCUAUUAUAUUUUGAAGGACGCCUAUAUGUUCCAGAAGAAAAAGCACGUUUGCGUGUUCUUCAAGCACGUCAUGACUUUCCAGCAGCAGGGCACUUUGGAUAUAAUAAGACUCUGGAACUCAUAUCAAGAGAUUUUUGGUGGCCACAAAUGUGGAAGUCAGUCAAAGACUUUGUACAAUCAUGUGAUAUUUGUUCAAGAUCAAAAAUUCCUCGUCAUCGACCUUACGGACUUCUUCAGCCAUUACCUAUACCAGAACAACCAUGGUCUUCUGUUUCUAUGGAUUUCAUCACAGAUCUUCCAAGCUCAAGAUCUUAUGAUUCUAUAUUUGUGAUAGUAGAUCGUUUCACCAAGAUGGCACAUUUUGUGCCAUGUACAAAAUCUAUCACAGGUGAAGAAACAGCUAAGCUUUUCAUUGAUAAUAUCUAUCGCUAUCAUGGAUUACCUAAAGAUAUCAUAUCGGAUAGGGGAACUCAAUUUGUGUCAAGAUUUUGGAGGACCCUUUUCAAGAUUUUAAAAGUGGACAUAAAACUAUCUUCGGCUUUUCAUCCUCAAACUAAUGGACAAACAGAGCGCGUAAACCAAGUCUUGGAGCAAUAUUUAAGGUGUACUAUCAACUACCAACAAGAUGAUUGGACAACCCUUCUGCCAUUGGCAGAGUUUGCUUAUAAUAAUACGGUACAUUCUUCCACGCAACAAACACCUUUCUUUGCCAAUUAUGGCUAUCAUCCACGACUUGAUACUUUUGAUUUUUCAAAAGUUGAUAAUCCUGCAGCAGAAGAUAUGGCAAAUCGAUUGUCAGAGUUACAUGCAAUAUUGAAGACACAAUUGAAGGAAGCUCAAGAACGACAAAGAUAAACGCAGAUCUAUAUCGUAAGGAGUAACCACAGAUCAACGUCGGUGAUAAGGUAUGGCUACUUCGUCGCAAUAUCAAGACUACUCGACCUUGUGACAAGUUGGACUAUCGUAGGCUUGGCCCCUUUUCUGUUUCUGAACAGAUCAAUCCAGUUGCAUAUCGGUUACAUCUACCGGAGUCAAUGAAGAUCCAUCCUGUAUUCCACGUGUCUCUUCUUGAACCAUAUAAGACAGUGGAUAUACAAGGAAGAAGACAAAUGCCACCGCCUCCUAUAGAAGUAGAUAAUAAUGAAGAAUUUGAGGUGGAAGAGAUAUUAGACUCAAGGCGGCGCCGAAAUAAGCUGGAAUAUCUUGUUCAUUGGUGCGGAUAUGAUAUUAGUGAGCGCACAUGGGAGCCAUCCAGGAAUCUAGCAAAUGCAUCAGCUAAAGUCAAAGUUUUUCAUCAACGACAUCCAUCAAAACCAAGAUGAAAACCUCUCUUAUAAAAGAGACAAGAUUGAGGCAAGAUAACAUUCAAUUUCGUAUCCUUAUUUGUAACUUCUUUGCAUUUUGUGAUGCUAAUUAGAUGGAGAGCCAACAACCAGCGGAUUCAACUCAAGAACCUUCGUUUGCUGACUUACCGGAUGAGACAUUGCGAUUGUCACAACCUUCAAGACGACGCAACCGAAAUGAAGACCCUCAAGAACGACAUGUUCUUCCUCGAAUAGAUGGUGAGAUACAACGCGUUUGGUAUCACGACCUUGGAAGAGAUUCUCGAUGUUUGGUGAUAUUAUUGGAGAUAGGAAUGACUCCUGAUGGUGUUUCAAAUGUAUUAUUUGAAGGAAGUUAUGAAGGCCUCAACAGUGAUCAAAUAACAGGGUGGUCUUCUCGCCCUGGAAUGGGACACUAUCGAUGGCUAAGAGGACCCAUCAACUAUCUUCGAAGAGAACAAAGAUCAGAGUAUGUAGCAAAUACAAUUCGCCGCAUAUUAGAUUUUCUCAAUAUAUAAUCACCGCUCUUCGUGGAACUCGUCCCUAGAAGGGGGGGUAAUGUCACGGACAUACAUAUAAUUACCUAUAUGAAUAGAUAAAAGUAUGUAAAAGUAGGUUAAUUAUGUAAUAUCUUCUAGAAAAGCUUCUUAGAAGCUUCAUAGAUGCUGCUUUGACUUUAUAGGAGUCUAUAGUUGACUUUUAGGUUAGAAACUUGGUCAAUAAGUUAGCCAUGUGCCACGCAUGUUGGAAGCUUAAAGAACAAGCUAACUACGUGGUCCAUCCAUAGAAAACUUGCCUUGCAAGCAAAGGCAUGUGGCCUAGAAAGUCAACAUAUAUUGGAGGUCUUAUAGAACACCGCCACGUGGCUUCUAGUUAGAUAGUAUAUAUAGAGGCAAGAGUGAAGCCCUCUUCACUCUUGUCAACUCCUUUCUUGCUUCUAGUCUAGUUUCAAGGGUCUCUAGUUUUCUUGUAUUUUGGCAAUAGCCAUUCCAGUUUCUUUCUUAAUAUACAUAUUUCUAUUUUGUCCUAUUUCUUUUUGAGAAAAGUUUCACUUACUCUUUAGCUUUCAUCGAGUUCUUGUCCCUGACACAUCUAAACGUCCUCACUGACUUUCUCUCAUUACCUACCAAUCCAUUUUAUUUUUUAUUUUUUUUUUAAAUUUUUUAAAUUUUUAAAUUGAUAAUUAAUAAUCUAGCCUACUCUCAGGUGGGUAGGGAACGCAAACCACCAAGAUAGUAUUUACGGGCGAUGACAUGGAAUUCACCAAGGCAAACCAGCCCGCUAGUCUAAUCUUGGCAUACGGUAUAACCUAUGUGGUGGGGCUUACCCGGUCAGUAAACGAGACACUGUGAUUCUGCCUUCACGGCCAGAACCCCCCUCGUUCUCAAUUUAGCUCACUGCCGAGGCAUUACCCACUAACAAGGCAAUGACAAUGACGAAUUACAAUCCUAAGUUAACAUAGAUCAUUCAAUGUAUGAUGGCUUACCUCAUGUAAUUCCAGCUUCCUGCACAAAUUGUAUACCACCGGCCUCUCGAUCACAUGCUAAGGUUUCUAGCACAAACUACCAAAGAUAUCCCUAAGAUCCACAUACCUUCUGCUGUGCUCCUUCCAAUCACGACCCCAUCAUCUUGCUCCUAUUAUCUCCUUCCUCCAUGUAAUCAAUCAUCUCAACUCAAAAAAAAAAAAAAAAAAAAAAAUUGUUAGACAACAUCUCUAAGAUCGGCUCCCGGAAAACGCACCAUUUAUGUGAGCUAAAUUCCUCCACCCUUAAUUGCGUUUAGUAGUCAAGUAGAUUAACUUCACUCACACGCGAAUUUUAUAAACCCUAAGUUCAUUCAUAAACCCUAAGUUCAUCCAUAAAUCCUAAGUUCAUCCAAAAACCCUGAGUUCAUCCAGAAACCCUAAAUUCAUCCAUAAACCCUAAGUUCAUCCAUAAACCCUAAGUUCAUUCAUCCUAAAUUUCCCUUCAUCAAUCAUCCAUCCCUUAAAUCUCAUUCAUCUUAUAACAUUCAUUCAUUCAAAGUUUGUUCAUCCAAUUUUUAUCUAAAGAUUCAUUCAUCCAACCAUAAGUCAACUUAUCAUCCAACUGACAAUUCGUGCAAUUGACCUAAUUCAUCCAAGAUUCAUCCUAAAAAUUAAAGAAAAUCGGAAGUCGCCACCUUCCAAGUCAUGGUAGCAACCCCUUUGCACGAAUUCCACUACAAUGGUUGCAUCACUAACUUGUUUAUAACAAGCUUUACUAUUUUAGAAAGUAGACUUACAAGCGCUUGUCUUCCAACAAAAUUCAAUGCAAAACAACAAUUAAGCUAAGAGAAAUCUUGCCUCAAAGUUGCCUGACUUUCUCGGCCUAGUCAGAGCACCCCUGGCCACAAAAACCCUUGCCCUUGCUCCAUUCCAGUUGUGCAACGCAUAUGCUUUAGCAUUCCAGAAACUAGAAUUGAAGUUGCAUCACCUCCAACAAUUUUUUCUUGAAAAUCUUGAGUGAAUUCCAAGAUAUGACCUUCCAAAGUAGCUUGAGUUGGCGGAGUGCUACAUCUUCACCAUGGCCGACUCCUCUUCACUCCAACCACCAUAACUUCCUUGGCCUUUACUCAAUCUAAGCGUGCAAAUAGUCCUUGCAAAGCUGACAACAAGAACCAUCCCCCACAAAAGUUUCAGCUCCAAAUUCAAUACUGUCCGCCAACACUCGCCUUCCAAAGUCGGACCUCCAGAUCUGGCCGGCAGCUGACCUCCUUGUCACUAAAACCACCACAACUUUCUUGUUUUCUCUCCAAACAAAGCGUGCCUACUGUCCCAAGGAAGCUAACGACAAGAUCUAACUAUUGGUAAAGUUUGACAUUCUAUUUCCAGAUAACUAAUACACUACAGCUGCGCAAUUGCAGCUCUAUAGAAACAAGGGUACGUGGGGAUGCAAUUUGGCAUGGCUUCGCCCCAAAAAAAAAAAAAAAAAGAGAGAGAGAGAGAGAG
rnacentral:lncRNA from 1 species